AUCACUUCUUGGCCUUUUGGCUAAGAUCAAGUGUAAUGUCAUGCUGUCAUGAUAUUAUCUGAAUGGUAGGACAAAAAUGGACACAAAUUACAAUUGGAUGUUUUCUUCUAACAAGUGAUUUUGGGGGAGUCUAAUAACCCUUUAAAGUGACAGACUUCAAAAAUUUAUGUAUUUGUUUCAGUUUUUUAGAUUAGAGGUUAUUUACC
rnacentral:snRNA from 1 species